rnacentral:lncRNA from 1 species
AUCAGCUCUAUUCAGUAUGGAAAAGGACUACACAGAAACUUGAAUAACAUGAGGCAAGAAUCAAUGGGGACCAUCUUGGAUAAUGGUUAUUACCAAGAAGAUAAACACAAUAAUAAAUAGAAUAUUUAAGUGAUGACCAGUGCUCCAAUAACCAUGUUGGAAUAUGAAGCAACCUUGAAGAUGAAAGCUAUGCACUUAGAAUGAGGAGUAGAAACUUAAACACUAAGGACCAAGAAACAGCAACACUAAUCCUGAACUCUAUUUCAGGACUUCUUUUAAAUGAAAAAAAAAAAAAAUAAUAAUCUUCCAUACAUUUA